rnacentral:ncRNA from 1 species
AGUCAACCUGGCAGCAGGUCGGGCGAUGCUGGUGGCCUGGCGAAUCCGUCCUGCCCCACUCCUCCCUCCCCACCCCUCCACAACUGCCCCUUCUCCUCCUAGGAGGGCGUGGGCUCCACCACUCCCAUGGACAGUGUGAGGCUAGGAGUGGCCCCAGCUCGCGGGCCAGGUCUUCCUGAAGUCGGGUUGCUUGGGAAUGCAGCCCAAGCGGGUGGUAAACCCCAUCUAAGGCUAAAUACCUGCAGCAGACGGAUAGUCAACGAGUACCGUAAGG